UACGUAGGGUGCAAGCGUUGUCCGGAAUUAUUGGGCGUAAAGAGCUCGUAGGCGGUCUGUCGCGUCGGCUGUGAAAACCCGGAGCUCAACUCCGGGCCUGCAGUCGAUACGGGCAGACUGGAGUUCGGCAUGGGAGACUGGAAUUCCUGGUGUAGCGGUGAAAUGCGCAGAUAUCAGGAGGAACACCGGUGGCGAAGGCGGGUCUCUGGGCCGAUACUGACGCUGAGGAGCGAAAGCGUGGGGAGCGAACAGG
rnacentral:rRNA from 1 species